rnacentral:misc_RNA from 1 species
CCGAGUUUACAACUCCCAAACCCCCUGUGAACAUACCACUUGUUGCCUCGGCGGAUCAGCCCGCUCCCGGUAAAAACGGGACGGCCCGCCAGAGGACCCCUAAACUCUGUUUCUAUAUGUAACUUCUGAGUAAAACCAUAAAUAAAUCAA